rnacentral:rRNA from 1 species
UACGUAGGGUGCAAGCGUUAAUCGGAAUUACUGGGCGUAAAGCGUGCGCAGGCGGUUGUGCAAGACAGGUGUGAAAUCCCCCGGGCUCAACCUGGGAAUUGCAUUUGUGACUGCACGGCUAGAGUGUGUCAGAGGGGGGUAGAAUUCCACGUGUAGCAGUGAAAUGCGUAGAGAUGUGGAGGAAUACCGAUGGCGAAGGCAGCCCCCCUGGGAUAACACUGACGCUCAUGCACGAAAGCGUGGGGAGCAAACAGG